rnacentral:rRNA from 1 species
GACGAACGCUGGCGGUGUGCUUAACACAUGCAAGUCGAACGAAGAGCGAUGGAAGCUUGCUUCUAUCAAUCUUAGUGGCGAACGGGUGAGUAACGCGUAAUCAACCUGCCCUUCAGAGGGGGACAACAGUUGGAAACGACUGCUAAUACCGCAUACGAUCCAAUCUCGGCAUCGGGACUGGAUGAAAGGUGUCCUCUAUUUAUAAGCUAUCACUGAAGGAGGGGAUUGCGUCUGAUUAGCUAGUUGGAGGGGUAACGGCCCACCAAGGCGAUGAUCAGUAGCCGGUCUGAGAGGAUUAACGGCCACAUUGGGACUGGAGAACGGCCCAGACUUCUACGGGAGGCAGCAGUGGGGAAUCAUUCGCAAUGGACGAAAGUCUGGCGGAGCAACGCCGCGUGAGUGAUGGCGGCCUUCGGGUUGGAAAGAUCUGUUUAUCGGGAAGAAUGGUUCUUGUGCGAAUAGUGCGAGGAUUUGACGGUACCGGAAGAGAAAGCCACGGCUAACUACGUG